rnacentral:lncRNA from 1 species
AUCGGCAGCCGCUGCUGCGGGGAGAAGCAGUAUCGUGCAGGGCGGGCACGCUGGUCUUGCUUACAGUUGGGCUUCGGUGGGUUUGAAGCACACAUUAGGGGGAAAUGGCUCUGUUCCUGCAGGUUUGCGCAGUCUGGGUUUCUUAGGUUUAGGGGGUUGGGUGGGUUUCUCUGGGGGUGCGGUGGGAAGCGGAUCAGUUCGGAUAACGGCCCUGAGCAAGAGUCUCUGUCCCGCUCCCGGCCUGACGCGGGGCUUCCAGCGGACACGACCAACGAUUUUAUAGGUUCAGAAAGUGUGUCUCAGAGGAGUUAGAGAAGACCGAUUAAUAGAUGACAGUGCUAAAGCCUGGAUCUCCUGAAUCCUGGAUGAAAGUGUCCUAAGUUAGAUUCCUGGGAAGAAAAUUCUGAGACACAUUCUGCAGGAUGAUUAUUAGGGCUCAUCCUUGGUUUCAACACCCAUAGAAGGAAGGGGGAAGAAGAAAUCGAACAGAGAGACAGAAGUCGAGAUGCAUUUCAGGCCAGGACUCUUGGCUGAACCCACAGGAGCUCUGGAGCUAGAAUGGCCCUUCAGAGUUGUCCUGAGUUGGUCUGAGAUGGCCAGUUCUUUAUAUUCCUGCAUGGGAUAGUCACUGGAUGUCCACCCCAGGAAGGGGUGUGGCCAAGACAGUCCCUAAAAUGCCCGCCAGCACUCCCUACACCUGGAGCGACAAGACCAACAUCACAGGGGGAAUGCACUGGGUGAUGGAUCACAGCGUUCAUCCCAGAAGAUGAGGAUACAGAAUUGGCUGACAACUACGUUCUAAAUGUCAGUGUUCUCCAAAAUUCAUAUGUUGAAACUUAAUUCCCAAUGUGAUGGCAUUAGGAAGUGGGGCCUUUGGGGGAGGGACUAUAGGUCAUGAGGGUG